UCAUCAUCAUUUAGGGUUCCUCUUAAUUUCUUACUCCACAAGUCAACCCUUCUCAAGAUGCUUAGAGGAUUGAAUCAAGAUCUUUUUUGUUGUGAUACUGGUCAAGUGGUUAAAGUUUUACUUUGGGAUUUUAUCAAGUUAAGGCGUUCCUUAUUGCUUAAGCUAUGGGUUAAGAUCUCAUCAACCUUUCGAAUAGGAUUUGGUGGUCUCUUGGAUUUAUGA